UUUGUGCAUCAAUCAAACUAUACGAAAAGGUUAUUGAAACGCUUUCGUAUGGACAAAGCAACUCCUUUGAGUACUCCAAUGAUUGGUAGAUCUCUCAAUGUUGAGAGUGAUCCUUUUAGGCCCUGCGAAAAUAACGAGAAGAUAUUAGGUCCAGAAGUACCUUAUAUGAGUGCUAUCGGUGUGCUGUUAUAUCUUGCAAACUGUACCAGACCAGAUAUAACUUUUGCUACUAAUCUACUGGUGAGAUAUAGUUCUGCUCCUACUCGCAGGCAUUGGGGCAGAAUAAAGCACUUAUUCCGUUACCUUCAAGGUACAGUUGAUUUAGGGUUAAUGUAUUUUAGAAAACCCGAGUUUGGUAUGGUUGGUUUUGCAGAUGCAUGAUACUUAUCAGAUCCUCAUAAGGCUCAAUCGCAAACCGGCUAUGUUUUUACAAUUGGUGGAACCGCGAUCUCUUGGCGGUCCCAGAAACAAACUCUGGUUGCGGCUUCUUCGAAUCAUGCUGAAAUUAUUGCGCUUCACGAAGCAUGUCGAGAAUGUGUAUGGCUUCGGUCAAUGAGUCACCACAUACAAGAAUCAAGCGGAGUAGUUAACAAGAAAGAGCCGACAAAAAUAUUUGAAGAUAAUUCGGCUUGUGUUGCUCAGCUCAAGGAUGGCUACAUUAAGAAUGACAGAACAAAGCACAUCCCUCCAAGAUUUUUCUCAUACAUACGUGAACUUGAGAAAAAUAAAGAAGUGGACAUUGAGUAUGUACGGUCAUGCGAAAAUCCGGCUGACUUGUUCACCAAAGCUCUUUCGACUACAACAUUCCGAAAACAUGUGUACGGCGUCGGAAUGCGGUAUUUGCGCGAUCUGUGAAGAAAAAACUAUGUCCAUUAUUUUCAGGGGGAGAUUACACCAGUGUACUUUUUUUUCCUUGUCAUGGUUUUUGUCCCAGUAAGUUUUUCCAUGACUACGUUUUUAACGAGACACUACGUAACACAAAAUAGAUAAUCAAGGGGGAGUGUUAUGAUAAUGAUUAUCUAUUUAGAAGAUAAUGUUUAUCUUCUUCUUUUGUAUUUUUGUUAUAUGUCGGUAAAACUAACCGACUUACCAUUGCUAUAAAUAUAGCUUCUCAUGCAUUUUGUAAGGACUACGUAGAAAUCAAUAAUCAAGAAUCAUAGUUUCAUUUACUCCUCUUUUUCUACCUUCAUUUCACAUAUAUACAUGAGACAAUAAUAAUACUAUAAUAUAACUAUAACCCUCUCUUUUUAUUCAUAACAACAGAGUACUUUUUUAUAGUUUCACAUUGUAUAAUUUUUAAAUAGUAGUAUCAAAUAAGCAAUGACAUGGACACGUAUACACCCAAAAUUCCUACCAAUUGAUGGGCGAGUUAUAGCAAGAGCUGACUUGGUCUGGGUAUCAUUAUGGGCCUUAAAGCCCAAAUUUAAGUCAACAUGUUUGGCCCAUAUUAACAUUGCACACUUGUCUUUGUUUUUGUUUCGGCUUUCUAAUUAAAAUAAACCGAAGUAUUGAAUCAAAAUUGAAGAAGAAGAGGUACAGAAGCAGAGGAGAGUGCAAUUUUGGAGUGAAUGGAGGCAAGUAGCAGAAGCAAUCCAUGUGUUGAAUCACGAUCCUUCACGCGGAUCUUUAUUCGAAGCCAUUUGAUAAGCUUAUGUUCGCGCUUCAAAGUCUUCAAGCUCACGAUGAGGGUAAUGUCGUCUUGCUUGAGCUUUUAACUGUCCUUCCUGAAGAGAUAUCUGAUACUUUUCUCAUCAGUCUAGUCUUCGCCAGGAGUUGCUCUUGCAUACUUCCAUGGUUCUUGAUUUCUUACUCCAGCAGUCUGAGAAGCAAUUCGCCUCCCCUCUAUACCCGCAUGACAACAACCGGAAAAUACUUCGUUGUUUACUGAGUUGCUCUACGUUUCAAGUCCGUGCUGGAUGUUUCUCCGAGAUUCCACAGGGCGCGGUCGCAUCCCCUUCUUAACUACGUCUUUAACGCUCUCCUGGGUACUACUUUUGAUCUCGCCAUUGAGCUGCUUGUUGAACUUGUGACUCGUCAUGACUUAUGAGGAUCUUCCUCAGGUUUUAUUGUACAAAGUACAGUUGCUUAAAGUUACGCUUCUAAAUGCUGAUUUUAAAGUUGUCUCUGGCUUGGCAUGCUUGAUGUCUGAGAUUGGACAGGCUGCACCAUGCUUGAUUGUUGAAGCAAGCUCUGAAGCGCUUAUUCUUACUGACGCCCUUUUGAGUUGCGUGUCAUUUCCAAGUGAAGACUGGGAGAUUGCAGACUCAACUGUACAGUUUUGGUCAGGCUUUGCGACAUAUAUUAUUAGCCUAGAUGAGAACAGACAGAAUGACAGAAAUCGCGUGAAAGAUAUAUUUCUCCCAGUUUUCUCAGCUUUGGUUGAUGCUCUUGUGCUGCGCUCUCAGGUCGAUGAGUUUACCUCCAGUGAUGAGAGUUCAUGGCUAGACCUGCCUGAUGGCCUGUUGCAUUUUAGAAAUAAUCUUCUCGAGCUCUUGGUAGAUAUUUGUCAGCUACUUCAUCCAACAACAUUUGUGAGUAAGUUAUUUUUUGGUGGCCUACCUUCUUCAAAUAUUUCGAUGCCCUUGAGGGAGAUUGAGGCGAAGUUGUUUGCUCUUAACGCGGUUUCUGAGAUUAUCUUGCAAGGGGGAGAGGCUUUUGAUUUUUCAUUGAUCAUGCAAUUGGUUUCUGCAUUCUCUGUCAGGCCAUCCAGUGAGCUCAAGGGGUUUAGAUGUGUUGUAUAUAGAUCGCUGGCAGAUGUUGUUAGCUCCUUUUCAAGAUGGAUCUCUGUUUUUCCAAGUAACGGUAGACCCUUGCUAUUAUUUCUUGCAGGAGUGAUUUCUGAACCCAUUUGUUCACAUGCUUGUGCCUCUGCUCUUCGUAAAAUUUGUGAAGAUCCUCCAGCUGUAGUACAGGAAACAUCUAAGUUAGACAUCUUGAUGCGGAUAGGAGAGUGUUUGGAUCAGUGGAAUUUGGCGUUAGAAGAUGAAGAAGAAGUCAUUAGGGCUAUCACUGUGAUUCUCGGCUCUGUUGCUAACAAAUAGCUACAAAAUAAAUUGUUAACUCAAUUGCUUUCGUCCAGUUAUGGAGUUCUCUCAAAACUUGUAGAUGGUGACGUCGAGCCUUCUAGUAGACAGAACCCAGCAACUUACACAAGAAUGGUUAGCUCUGUUACAAGAGGUCUUUACAGGAUUGGAACUGUAUUCAGCCACCUUGCCACGUCUCUGUCAUCUGUCCCUGUGGCGGAUGGUCCAAUCCUUUCUUUGUUGACUGCGUUCUGGCCCAUUUUGGAGAAGCUGUUCAGGUCUGAACACAUGGAGAGUGGAAGUUUAGCUGCUGCAGCAUGCCGUGCUCUUUCAGUGGCAGUUCAGUCGUCAGGUGGGCACUUUAUGCUGUUACUACCCAGUGUACUGGAGUGUCUAUCUAGAAAUUUUCUGUCAUUUCAAAGCCAGGAAUGUUACAUAAGAACAGCGUGUGUUAUCGCUGACGAAUUUUGUGAAAAGGAGGCAUACGGGUCCUUGUUUAUCACCACGUUUGAGAGAUUUACUCAAGCAUCAUCACUGAUGGGGAUAAACUCGUGAUAUAUAUGCGACCAAGAACCCGAUUUGGUGGAAUCAUAUGUGAAUUUCGCAUCAGCGUUAAUCCGCGGUUGUCAUAAGGAAUUGUUGGGUACUUGUGGAACACUUCUUGAAAUUUCUUUCCAAAAAGCGGCUAUUUGUUGUACAGCUAUGCACCGUGGCGCUGCUUUAGCUGCGAUGUCGUACUUGUCAGGUAUGUGUGCACUUUCGCUUUCUUCCAUGAUUGAAACGGUGAAUUGCAAAUCGGAAGGAUCAUUCAGUGUGGUCACUGUCCAGGUUGUAUCUCACUGUGGAGAGGGACUUUUGUCUAACCUAGUCUAUGCUCUACUUGGAGUUGCAGCUAUGUCAAGGGUCCAUAAGUGUUCGACAAUACUUCAACAAUUAGCUGCGAUCUGCACUUUAUGUGAGAGAACGUCAUGGAAAGGAAUGUUGUGUUGGAAAUCUCUCCAAGGAUGGCUAAACUCCGCGGUGUGGGCAGAGUAUCUAAAGCAAGGAGAAGCAGAAAACAUAGUGAGGGAAUGGUCGGAAGCUCUGGGAGGCGCAGGGAUCGAUUACCUUGAGAACAAAGGCUGCAACUUUGGAAGUAAUAACAGUUUAGGAGGGGGGCAAUAUGCAAGGGAAACACGCUCGAGCACUGAAAAGAUUGGUGAGAGAUUUUGCGGAUUCUCACCGAAAGGAUCCAACUCUAAACAUCAUAUACAUUGUUGCCUUAAUGAUAGAGGGCAAUGCAUGCAUCUUCUAUUUCUGAUGUACAGUAGGAGAAUAAUACUACAUUUGAGAUUGAAUCUUGAUGAGAAGAACAAUAUACAUCCAUUGUUAACAUCUAAUAUAUCUAUUUCAAAACUA